CAAGUCGAACGAAGAUAGUAAUAUCUUAGUGGCGAACGGGUGCGUAAUAUAUAGGAAUCUGCCUUAUAGUGGGGGACAACAGUUGGAAACGACUGCUAAUACCGCAUAAUACCAUUUAUGGGAAAGUCGCAAGACGCUAUUUGAUGAGCCUAUAUCUGAUUAGCUAGUUGGUGGGGUAAUGGCCUACCAAGGCGAUGAUCAGUAGCUGGUCUGAGAGGACGAUCGGCCACACUGGGACUGAGAUACGGCCCAGACUCC
rnacentral:rRNA from 1 species